rnacentral:tmRNA from 1 species
GCUCUUUCCCCCGCCCUCCGCAGCCCCUAUAUUGACCUUGCCGAUCGCAAGACCGGCUAUGGCGAUAAACGAGCGUCGGAAUAAGCUUUUCGGACCCGGGGGCGGUACCCGGCGCCUCCACCACAGCCCUGCGGCGAAAGCCAUGGGGCGGCUUGCGGGAUCUUUGGACCGCGGGCUGGCCCGGCCACUCAGGCAGGGUUGCGGCGGGGGCG